GAUGAACGCUGGCGGCGUGCUUAACACAUGCAAGUCGAACGGUGAACACGGAGCUUGCUCUGUGGGAUCAGUGGCGAACGGGUGAGUAACACGUGAGCAACCUGCCCCUGACUCUGGGAUAAGCGCUGGAAACGGCGUCUAAUACUGGAUAUGUGACGUUACCGCAUGGUCUGCGUUUGGAAAGAUUUUUCGGUUGGGGAUGGGCUCGCGGCCUAUCAGCUUGUUGGUGAGGUAAUGGCUCACCAAGGCGUCGACGGGUAGCCGGCCUGAGAGGGUGACCGGCCACACUGGGACUGAGACACGGCCCAGACUCCUACGGGAGGCAGCAGUGGGGAAUAUUGCACAAUGGGCGCAAGCCUGAUGCAGCAACGCCGCGUGAGGGAUGACGGCCUUCGGGUUGUAAACCUCUUUUAGCAGGGAAGAAGCGAAAGUGACGGUACCUGCAGAAAAAGCGCCGGCUAACUACGUG
rnacentral:rRNA from 1 species